AGGAAAGUUCCAAAAAUUUCAUGGUAAUCCCUCCAAAUUCUCUUUCACCCUAAAAUCCCUUCAAAUUACUAUUAGGCUAAAAUUCCUAAGAGGUGGCCGCAAAAUUUCAUCAAAAUGCACAAAGUUGCAAAGAACUCAGAAGGGUAGUGUCUAAAAUUUAUCUCUCCAAGCGACUUUACACAAAUUGCACCAUUGGAUUAUCCGCCUAAACAAGAGUUAUUCUCUCUGAUGCUAGUGUGCCUGGUAAAGGGGAGCAUAAGAUAAUAUCUUAUAUUCGGUUGCAAAGGAAUCUUCCAAGAUUUGAUCCUAAUACACGACAUUGCUUGUAUAGUUUGGACGUAGACUUGAUAAUGCUGGCAUUGGCGUCACAUGAAGUUCACUUUUAUUCUAAGGGAGGCCAGUGUGUUUUUGGGAUGUCCGCAAAGAUAAAUCAAAGUAUAGAGGUCAACAGAAUAAGAAAGAUAUGUAUAGACAAUAAGCAGGUAGGCACUCAAAAAAAGGGGAAGGGUGCAGCAAAGACUUGGAGAACUUAAUAUCAGAACAGAAGUUUCAGGUUAGAAACUUGAUUUAGUAUGAUGAUGUUGUAUCAUUGUGUUAUCAAGAUCCACCGCUGCAGUAAGUUGUAAGAAUUUGAUGUGGUUGCUUUGCUCUAAAAGUUGGAACUUUAAGAACUGCUCGAUAUAGUUCUAUACUUUUAUUAUGCUGCUACGAAAAAUUCUUAUCAUUUUGCGAA